CUUCACAGUUUCAAUCUUGCUUUAUUAGCAAAAUAGUGUUAGCGACUAAUCCAAAACCCUAAUUCUUUAUGUGCACGUGUUUUAAGCGCAAAGUAUUAUCCAGAGGGUAAUAUUUUGAAGGCAGGUCCAAAGAAAGGUUCGUCGUUUACCUGGCAGAGUAUUGUGGCAGGUAUUCAAACAUUCAGAAGAGGGUGUAUAUGGCGUGUGGGUACAAGAGCGCAGAUAGAUAUAUGGCAGGACCCAUGGAUUCCAUCAAGCCCAUCGCAGAAAGUUAUUACCCCUCGAGGAUCAGUGAUGCUAAGAUACGUGGAGAAAUUGAUUGAUCCUCAUUAUGGCCAGUGGGAUGAAGCUUUAAUCCAAGACGCGUUCUCUCCAGUUGAUGCAUAUAGGAUCCUCCAAAUACCUCUAAAUGUUCAGGUGAUGGAGGACUUCAUAGCAUGGAAUUACAUGAGAGCAGGGAUCUUUUCGGUCCGGUCAGCUUAUCACAUAGAAUUUGAACACAUGUAUGGACAUCGUCUUGCUAGAUCUGAUGGUCAAGGAAAUGCCCAAGCUAACACAAUAUGGUAUGAAGUGCGGAAUCUUAAACUCCCUGGAAAGAUUAAGCAUUUUGCUUGA
rnacentral:rRNA from 1 species